rnacentral:rRNA from 1 species
UACGUAGGGGGCAAGCGUUGUCCGGAAUUAUUGGGCGUAAAGAGCGUGUAGGCGGCCAGAUAAGUCCGCUGUGAAAUCUCGAGGCUCAACUUCGAGCUGUCGGUGGAAACUACCUGGCUAGAGUCCGGAAGAGGAGAAUGGAAUUCCUGGUGUAGCGGUGAAAUGCGCAGAUAUCAGGAAGAACACCCGUGGCGAAGGCGGUUCUCUGGGACGGUACUGACGCUGAGACGCGAAAGCGUGGGGAGCGAACAGG